GACGAACGCUGGCGGCGUGCCUAAUACAUGCAAGUAGAACGCAGUUGCGAACGGGUGAGUAACGCGUAGGUAACUGCCUCAUAGCGGGGGAUAACUAUGGGAAACGAUAGCUAAUACCGCAUACUGUGAGAGGGACCUGCGGUGUAAUAGUUAGUGGGUGAGGUAAAGGACGAACAAGGCGACGAUCAAGAGCCGAACUGAGAGGGGUGUCGGCCACCCUGGGGGUGAGUCACGGCCCAGAAUCCGUCGGGAGGCAGCAGUAGUGAAGUUUCGGACAUGGAAGGCAGUCUGACCGGGCCACGCCGCGUGAGUUAAGAAGGUUUUCGGAUCGUAAAGCUCUUUUGUUUGAGAAGCGGUAACUAACCAGAAAGGGACGGCUAACUCCGUGCCAGCAGCCGCGGUAAUUC
rnacentral:rRNA from 1 species